UGUCUUCUAAAUAAAGACUAGUAUGAACGGCUAAAUGAGGACAAACCUGUCUCUUACAGCUAAUCAGUGAAACUGAUCUUUCAGUACAAAAGCUGAAAUAAACACAUAAGACGAGAAGACCCUGUGGAGCUUCAAACAAACUGCUAACAAACACCCAUAGUGUACCUAGCCUUAAGUUUUAAGUUGGGGCGACUUCGGAACCAAACAGAACUUCCGAGCACCGAAACACCAUUUCUCACUAAGGCCAACAAGCCAAAGUAUAAAACCGACCCAGUCAUACUGAUCAACGAACCAAGUUACCCCAGGGAUAACAGCGCUAUCUUCUUCAAGAGUCCCUAUCGACAAGAAGGUUUACGACCUCGAUGUUGGAUCAGGACACCCCAAUGGUGUAGCCGCUAUUAAAGGUUCGUUUGUUCAACGAUUAACAGU
rnacentral:rRNA from 1 species